GGCACUUCGUUUACUGCACUAUACCCGCUCACGCACAAGCGCACGAGUGCACAUGUUAGUACGUUUGAUCACAGACGAACAAUAUAUAGUGCACCUUCUAAUGCACAAACGAUGAACAUUUGUUUUGUGAUGCACAUUAAAUUGAAAAAAAAGAAAAAGAGAAAUUUUCAUGAAAGUUAUAAAACUCAAUGAAAUUGGACUGAUUGGAGCUUUGGAUGAUGAGGACAAGCGUUACAAAAACUUUAUGAAUGCCAUCAAGCGGAAGCGAUUACAACAUCUGAAGGAACAGCUGCAGCUGCAGCAGCUGCAGCAACAGCCCGAGCUCGUCAGCAACCAGCAGUAGCGGGUGUGGGUGGUGUAUCUGUGUUCAAAGCAAAGCAAAACAAAACAAAAACCCUCCGCUAAGGAUAUCCAAGUUCAGUUCAGUUUGUGUAGAUGCAAACGUUAGGCCGGUAGUGAUUAAGCAGCUCACCACAGCUCACCAAUAUAAACCGCAAACUCCUUUUCUAGCGAGAGAGCGAGGAGAGCUAAAACUGAAAAUUGAAAAUUUACUGCUCCAUUUACGCUUUUGACUUGACUUUAGGUGCAUUUUUAGCUUUUUUUCUGUUUGGUAUUUUACACUGCAAAACUACAAAUUGUUCAUUAAAGAAAGCUUAUCUGUGAGCUAAGCGAGAGAAAGAGAGAGAGAAAAAAAAAGAGAACGAUCAUACGUUGCUUAGCAUACGUGCAUUGAAACUGCCGCCAACUUUGUUCUAAGAGCUAGAGCGAACUUAGUAAGCCGUUUAGUAGUAACGUACGUAAGCUACCGAACACGUUAGAGUGAUCUUUCGUCUCUCAAGCGGUAAACGCUCAUCAUCAGCGUUUGCAUGAUAAUGAUAAAAAAGCCCACAAACACACAGAACGAUCGCGGAGGUGGACUGGGUGGGCUUCAAACCCAUCCCAUUCCUGUAUGACACUUCAUAGGCUGCCUGCUUAUCUGUUCAAUGUAAAUAGUUAGUGCGUUAGUGUCUGUUUAUUAUAUUCGUUUUAGUACUUGCAUCAUACGGUAGCGUUAGCUCGUUUCGAUAACAUCUUCUGUUGUUCUAAUAAUGUGUAUGUAUGUAGGUGUUUCUCUUAACCCUUUUUUCCCCGGAGAGACGUCAUUACAACGAAAUAAUGAACAAAAGAAGACGAAAAAACAAUAUAAUACUAAGCGAAAGAGUUAAGAAGAAGAAACGGUACCUUCGAACAGGGGAUUUUUUUUAGCGAGCUAAGCAAACAGGCAAAACAUCGUUGAGCGAAUGAGUUUUGUGGCGGAAGGAAAACAAACGCCCUUUGGGGUGAUUACAAAAAAGGGAAGGAUCUGUAAACGAUAUGGAAUGAAAACACAGAAAGCAAACCACCCGUAGUAGGUAAAAGAAAAGAGGGCAAUCGAGCAAAUCGAGAAGAUAGGAAGCAUAUGUAGAAAGCCAAGAAGAGAGAUUGGCACCGUGUUGGGUGUGUGUUGCCACCAUAAUGUAGAGUUUUAAUUUAUUGGAUUUAAGUUAUGGGAUAGUGAUUCUUUUCUCUUCUCCACUGCGUUUGUAUAUGUGUUAGAAUUUUUGUUUGUUUUUUCUUAUUCUUAUUCUUGCAACGAUAACGAUCUAUGCGUUUCGUGCAGGAAUCGAAUGCUGAAACAGUGAGCGUGCGCCGUAUCGUUGAUUCGAUCGGCCGCCGUGGAAGUUUUCGGCGACGAGCAAAAAAGGGUGUUUACACACCAGAGAAGUGCUAGGUAUUAGGAAUUUUGAUAAUUGAUAACAAUCGAAGCGAGUACAAUACACCUCCGUCCACACGUAACGAAGGUACGCAAUUUUUCGCGCGAAUAGUGUGUAUGUGGAGGGUAUUAAGGAGGAAGGUGAACUCGUUCGGACGUUUAUAGUAGUGCAAGAACGAAAGGUAGGCAAAGGCGAAUGAGUGUAUUUCGUUUAUGUAUUUUGUAAAGUGAGUAUAUCAAUAAAGAAAAAAAAACUAAAUUUAUAAAACA